GCCAGGCAGGACCCAGCAUGGACACGAGGGCCCCCACUCAGCUGCUGGGGCUCCUGCUGCUCUGGCUCCCAGGUGCCAGAUGUGCCGCUGUGGUGACGCAGAAUCCAUCCUUCACGUCUGCAGCUGUGGGAGGCACAGUCACCAUCAAUUGCCAGUCCAGUCAGAGUGUUUAUAAUAACAACCUCUUAUCCUGGUAUCAGCAGAAACCAGGGCAGCCUCCCAAGCUCCUGAUCUAUGGUGCAUCCACUCUGGCAUCUGGGGUCCCAUCGCGGUUCAGAGGCAGUGGAUCUGGGACACAGUUCACUCUCACCAUCAGCAACAUGGAGUGUGACGACGCUGCCACUUACUACUGUGCAGGCGGUUAUAGUAGUAUUACUGAUACCCACAGUGUUAGAAGCCCUAACAAAAACCCCCCAGGAAAGCAGAAGUUUUACAUGGACACACGUUCAAUUCAUUACCACCAGCUUAACCUUCCAGUAAACAAAGAAUUCAGCGAUGAGUGA